rnacentral:lncRNA from 10 species
UCUUCUCCUAGUUUCUUUAUCAUUGUGGACUGACGUUUUUGCAAAGUUCAUUUUCAGUUUCUAUUUUAUUUUUCCAGUGUUGGGGAAAGGUCUCAAGUAAGACAGAGAAGGCAGAAAUUCACCAGCAAAUCCAAACUGGGGAAAUCCCAGAGUUGAAGACAAGAAACUUAAGAAAACCUUACAAAAAGAAACAUGCUUGGGGCUACUCUUGUUUGCUGGUAGAAUGAUCUGUAGAAAAUUCUGAGAUAAGGUGUUAAAAGUAAGAAAAUGCAGGCAUAAUUAUGAUCAGACUGUCAACUUUCCCCUUGUCUAAUGGGAGCCAAAGAAUGAUGUUUUAAUGCUCAGCUUCUAGAUGAAAUAUGUAUUAGCAAACUAUUCUAGGCCUUUAUAUUCCUUUAUUUUUGUUUUCAAAAAUUCCCAUGACAAUAUUCUGGCAUCCAUGCCACAUGAGGAUACAUUUCGUGCCAAAACAAGCUUAGGAAAUCUGCAGUUUAAAGGAGGAAGGUAUGCUGCAGCUGAGAGCAGACGCUUCUAAGGCAUCUUGGGAAGGCAUUGUUCCUGAGAGUAGCUUCAAUAAGCCACGUGGAUGCAAUUAUCCAGCUCAGGGGUUGUUUCUUAUGGAAUCCAACCUAUGACUGUUGACGCCAGGAGUGGUCCUGGGAAGGAGACUCUGAAAAUUUUGGAGCUGGCUGGGAAUAAGAGUCCUGUUGCUGUUGAUAUCUGAGAGCAACCUUCUGCCAGGAUUUGCCCUGCCCACAGGCGUUAGCAUGGACUUGAUGACUGCGGUGUGGCUUUUACUUUCUCAAUUUUCCAGAGCUCAUACUCCUCAAACUCCAGAGGAAUAAGAUGGCCAGCAGUCAGGAAGGAGAUUUGAAUGUGGAGCACAGCAGAGUGAGCACGAGCUGAAACCCUCCAAGCAUAUUUUCAUCACUGUAUUGCCUGUGAACAUCUUCAGAGUGUGAUGACUCCUACUUCCUCUGAAUCUCAUUUCUUUUUCUCUGGAAAUGUCUACUGAAUACAGAAAUGAACACACUGAAAUAUUUUCAUGCAUUGCCUCAGAGGAAGGGUGACCGAAGGAGAGCUCGAGAAACGGAAAGAGAAUGAGAACAGAGAGAGAUAAAGAAAAGCAUACAAAAUAUUUAUUGCUGCAUUUCCGUGCCUUCUCCACAAUAUUGAGGCCUGAAUUAGGUAGGUAGUUGAAAUCUCUCUAAAAGUGAGUCAGAUAUUGUGUCCGGAAUUGGUGGGUUCUUGAUCGCACUGACUUCAAGAAUGAAGCCGUGGACCCUCGCGGUGAGUGUUACAGCUCUUAAGGUGGCGCGUCUGGAGUCUGCCCCUUCUGAUGUUCAGAUGUGUUCGGAGUUUCUUUCUUCUGGUGGGUUCGUGGUCUCUCUGGCUCAGGAGUGAAGCUGCAGAUCUUCGCGGUGAGUGUUACAGCUCUUAAGGUAGCGUGUCUGGAGUUGUUCAUUUCUCCCUGUGGGCUCGUGGUCUUGCUGGGCUCAGGAGUGAAGCUGUAGAUCUUCGCAGUAAGUGUUACAGCUCAUAAAAGCAGCAUAGACCCAGAGUGAGCAGUAGCAAGAUUUAUUGCAAAGAGCGAAAGAACAAAGCUUCCACAGUGUGGAAGGGGACCCGAGCGGGUUGCCAAUGCUGGCUCGGGCAGCCUGUUUUUAUUCUUAUCUGGCCCCACCCACAUCCUGCUGAUUGGUAGAGCCGAGU